rnacentral:misc_RNA from 1 species
UAGGAAGUAAAUAGUUGAAUUAUAAAAAUAUGAAAGUAACAACUCAGAAAGAUUCAGAGAAAAUAAUUUGGGAUCAUAUGAGAAGCCCAUCUGGGAACCACUUUUCCGGACCUGGUUCGCAGACGCGAAUCCUACCUAAGCUCAUGGUUUGGCUGAUCCUAUUCGUUUCACUCACCUAUGUUGCUUACACUCUCAAGCUGGUCGCCACUUCACGAGCCUGCAAUCACGAGCCUUUCUCUACCCAACAUCAUCUCUCAAUCUCUAAUCAUUCU